UACUCGCCCCUGAGGCUGCCCUGACUGCGCCUUAAGAAUGAUAUCCCAUCGCAGUGUCUUUGCGCAUUUUCCUAACUAUCUCCUCCUGCCUGCACUUCGAGUAUGUCUAAGAUUCUUCUUCUGCACUCUGAGUUCUGACUCUUUAUAUAGCGUAACUGUGAAAACUAUUGUUAUUGUUAUGCUAGAGCUUUGGAAUUUAUAGAGAGUUUUAUCUGUCUUGCCCUUUGAAAUUUUACCUUUUAUUUCAGUAAUAUUAAAUUAUCAAACUUGUUUUAUCAUUCUCAUAGCUCAUUUUCUUUCCUACUGGUUUUUGUGUUUUUGUGUUGAUGUUUGUAUAUUUGACAUUUAGAUUUCUCAUUAGUUUACUCACUGUCUUCAUUCACUCAGCAAAUACUGUGCCAAGGCGUGCUUCCGGCAUGGGAGACACUGCGGAGAACAAGAUGAAACCCAGCUCUCAUGGAGCUUACCUUUUAAUUGGGGAGAUAGAUCA
rnacentral:lncRNA from 1 species